UCGGGAAUAUUGCGCAAUGGAGGAAACUCUGACGCAGUGACGCCGCGUGCAGGAAGAAGGUUUUCGGAUUGUAAACUGCUUUAGACAGGGAAGAUACAAGACAGUACCUGUAGAAUAAGCUCCGGCUAACUACGUGCCAGCAGCCGCGGUAAUACGUAGGGAGCAAGCGUUAUCCGGAUUUAUUGGGUGUAAAGGGUGCGUAGACGGGAAAACAAGUUAGUUGUGAAAUCCCUCGGCUUAACUGAGGAACUGCAACUAAAACUAUUUUUCUUGAGUGCUGGAGAGGAAAGUGGAAUUUCUAGUGUAGCGGUGAAAUGCGUAGAUAUUAGGAGGAACACCAGUGGCGAAGGCGACUUUCUGGACAGUAACUGACGUUGAGGCACGAAAGUGUGGGGAGCAAACAGG
rnacentral:rRNA from 1 species